AUUGAACGCUGGCGGCAUGCCUUACACAUGCAAGUCGAACGGUAACAGGUCUUCGGAUGCUGACGAGUGGCGAACGGGUGAGUAAUACAUCGGAACGUGCCCGAUCGUGGGGGAUAACGAGGCGAAAGCUUUGCUAAUACCGCAUACGAUCUACGGAUGAAAGCGGGGGAUCUUCGGACCUCGCGCGGACGGAGCGGCCGAUGGCAGAUUAGGUAGUUGGUGGGAUAAAAGCUUACCAAGCCGACGAUCUGUAGCUGGUCUGAGAGGAUGAUCAGCCACACUGGGACUGAGACACGGCCCAGACUCCUACGGGAGGCAGCAGGGGGGAAUUUUGGACAAUGGGCGAAAGCCUGAUCCAGCCAUGCCGCGUGCAGGAUGAAGGCCUUCGGGUUGUAAACUGCUUUUGUACGGAACGAAAAGCCUCUUUCUAAUAAAGAGGGGUCAUGACGGUACCGUAAGAAUAAGCACCGGCUAACUACGU
rnacentral:rRNA from 1 species